GUCUCCCUGUUUUCCGGAAGACCAGAAGUGCAACAGAAGGCACAGACGUGCUCAGAAAGAGAAGGCGCUCCUCAGAUAUUUGGUGGAAUUGGUUGCAGUGGGAAGAAAAGCCGGGGCAUGGCCAUUCCAACAUGGAGCAAUAGGAGCCACAGGACAGUGAGGGGUGACCGGAGAAGAACUUCACAUUGAACAAAGUACUUGCUGUGCAUGUACCUUGUGCAAAGUCUCAUGUUGGGACACUGAGAUGAAG